UUAUCUGUUCUUCACUCUUAGUCUCUUGUCUUCUUACCGUCUUCCCUCUCUGUCCCUUCUCUCCCCUCCCCCUCUCCACUCUCCAGAUAUUCAUGGACGGCCUCUACUACUCUCUUUUCUUUCUCCUCUCUCCCCUCCCCCUCUCUGUGUUGUUCUCUACCUCUACUCUCUCAACUCCCCUCCCCAUGCCCUAAGUAAACUCUGUUUCAUCCUGUACCCAUCCUAUGGUCGGUACCUCAGGGGGAAAGGACGCCUCAGCAUGGGCCCUUCAUCAUACAUGCCUCUACCAAACAGAUCCCUGGCUUCCUUUUCUUUUUCAUAAAACACAACAGUGUCCACUUUAUCUCUACCCCCACCUCUAGAGUUUACAACCCUGUUGUUCUUAUCUAGACUACAACAAUUCCCCCUGUGUACUCUUUUUUUUAAAAAAUAACCAAACAUACAUUUAUUCAAGUGUUGUCAUCUUGUGAAGAUGUAUUCUGAUGCCUAUGUUGCUUCCAUUAUCAAAGUGCACUUGUUCUGAACCUGUCUGGGCGUGGCCUUGGAAGUAGUCUGUGAGCUGUAUCAUGAGACCAUCACCUCAUGUUUGAAAUCAGGGUCACCUCUGUCCUGAUUACAGGGCCACCGCAGUGCACUGGGUCAUCAAACCUCUUGCUUAUUGUAUUGUUAUCCAUCUCCAUGUUUUCAUGAGUGGGACCUCCUGGACGUAGGGCUGAUUGGGUCCUACAGUCACUCAAGUUUGAGUUCUAAGACACUUUAUUGUUUGGAUGCUGGGGACAUUGAAGGCACCAAGGAGAUGGAAGUCAUCAACUGGGCAAAUGCUGAAGACACACGUGGAGGAGCAUGCACCCCUGAAGGUUACAGAGAACUUCAACAAGAGCCAUUUUGAUGCAUCAAUGUGGGCAAAGGCAAAAGGUUCAAGAGAGAACAAGAGAAAACUAGAGACCACAAGUGGAUAUAUGUGGAUCCUCCCAGGAGACCUACUAGGGAAAUGUGUUCCUCACAGAAGUUCUCUGUCAUGUCACGAUGCAGCCAAACUUGCCCUCUCAAGAAGCCAGAUGGGUGGAGCCAUCAGAUCCUGAACCUCUGGCUUCAAACUGUGAGCUAACUAAAGAUCUCUGUGCUGUAAAAUA
rnacentral:sRNA from 1 species